rnacentral:rRNA from 1 species
UACAGAGGGUGCAAGCGUUAAUCGGAAUUACUGGGCGUAAAGCGUGCGUAGACGGUUAUUUAAGUCAGGUGUGAAAGCCCAGGGCUCAACCUUGGAAUUGGCAUUUGAGACUGAAUAGCUAGGGUGCGGAAGAGGGAAGCGGAAUUUCCGGUGUAGCGGUGAAAUGCGUAGAUAUCGGAAGGAACACCAGUGGCGAAAGCGGGCUUCCUGGUCCAGCACCGACGUCAGGCACGAAAGCGUGGGGAGCAAACAGG